rnacentral:rRNA from 1 species
UACGGAGGGUGCAAGCGUUAUCCGGAUUUACUGGGUUUAAAGGGUGCGUAGGUGGGCAGGAAAGUCAGUGGUGAAAUCUCCGGGCUUAACCCGGAAACUGCCAUUGAUACUAUUUGUCUUGAAUACUUUGGAGGUAAGCGGAAUAUGUCAUGUAGCGGUGAAAUGCUUAGAUAUGACAUAGAACACCAAUUGCGAAGGCAGCUGGCUACACGAGCAUUGACACUCAGGCACGAAAGCGUGGGGAUCAAACAGG